UACGGAGGGUGCAAGCGUUAUCCGGAUUUAUUGGGUUUAAAGGGUCCGUAGGCGGACUCGUAAGUCAGUGGUGAAAUCUCAUAGCUUAACUAUGAAACUGCCAUUGAUACUGCGGGUCUUGAGUAAAGUAGAAGUGGCUGGAAUAAGUAGUGUAGCGGUGAAAUGCAUAGAUAUUACUUAGAACACCAAUUGCGAAGGCAGGUCACUAUGUUUUAACUGACGCUGAUGGACGAAAGCGUGGGGAGCGAACAGG
rnacentral:rRNA from 1 species